rnacentral:rRNA from 1 species
AGAGUUUGAUCAUGGCUCAGAUUGAACGCUGGCGGAAUGCUUUACACAUGCAAGUCGAACGAUGAACCUUAGCUUGCUAAGGGGAUUAGUGGCGAACGGGUGAGUAAUAUAUCGGAACGUGCCUUGUAAUGGGGGAUAACUAGUCGAAAGAUUAGCUAAUACCGCAUACGCCCUGAGGGGGAAAGUAGGGGAUCUUCGGACCUUACGUUAUAAGAGCGGCCGAUAUCUGAUUAGCUAGUUGGUGGGGUAAUGGCCUACCAAGGCUUCGAUCAGUAGCUGGUCUGAGAGGACGACCAGCCACACUGGAACUGAGACACGGUCCAGACUCCUACGGGAGGCAGCAGUGGGGAAUUUUGGACAAUGGGCGCAAGCCUGAUCCAGCCAUUCCGCGUGAGUGAAGAAGGCCUUCGGGUUGUAAAGCUCUUUCGCAAGGGAAGAAAACUUACAUUCUAAUAAAGUGUGAGGCUGACGGUACCUUGAUAAGAAGCACCGGCUAACUACGUGCCAGCAGCCGCGGUAAUACGUAGGGUGCGAGCGUUAAUCGGAAUUACUGGGCGUAAAGCGUGCGCAGGCGGUUUGGCAAGUCAGAUGUGAAAUCCCCGAGCUCAACUUGGGAACUGCGUUUGAAACUGCCAGACUAGAAUAUGUCAGAGGGGGGUAGAAUUCCACGUGUAGCAGUGAAAUGCGUAGAGAUGUGGAGGA